rnacentral:lncRNA from 1 species
UUUUUCGUAGAGACGGGAUUUCACCAUGUUGGCCAAGCUGGUCCUGAAUGCCUGACCUCAGGUGGUCCACCUGCCUCGGCCUCCCAAAGUGUUGGGAUUACAGGCGUGAACCACCGUGCCUGGCCUAAUUUUUUUAAUAGGGAUAAUAAUAUUAAGAAAUUCUUUUACUAACACAUGUAGUUUUCCAGAACUCCAUCAUAUGCAGGCAAUAUAUGAUAUUCGAUUAUUAAAU